ensembl:lncRNA
UUGGGGCUGGGAGAGAGGGGAAGUGAAAUUUUGAAGAAAUUUCCCCCCCAAAAGUCCAGAAGGGCUUUCCUUGGGCGGGGGGGAUGGGGGAGGAAGGAGUGAUCAGGGACCAAGGGUGGUGGGCACAAGGGUGCAAUUCACCUGAAGUGUACUCAUCGACCUUUUUGAACCAGGAAGGUGUGUCCAGGCAUAGCUCACAUGUUCAGAAAUUAACCGCAAGCUAUUUUAAGCACCCAGAUGAUUUUGCAGAGAGCCUGCCCAUUUCCCCUUGAGAAGCAAGUUGCUAGGGCCAGGGUUCUCAAAAUGGGUCCCCUCCCCGACACACCACCCCCUACCUCCGGAGUACCAGCAGUUCCUGGGAACUUGUUAGAGAUGCAAAUCCCCAGCUGGGGCCCAGAUCUGCAGAACUGGAAACUCUGGGGAGUGGAGGGAGGGGGUGGCCACCCCAGUGUGCAUGCAGGAAUCCCCUGGGGACCUCGCUAAAAUGCAGACUCUGAUGGUUAGUCUGGUGUGGGCCCGAGUGUCUGCAUUUCCGACAGGCUCUCAAGAUGUGAUAGAGAAAAGGGGCUUCCCAGGUGGCUCAGUGCGUGAAGAAUCCACCUGCAAUGUAAGAGAGGUGGGUUUGAUCCCUGGGCUGGGAAGAUCCCCUGGAGGAGGGCAUGGCAACCCAUUCCAGUAUUCUUGCCUGGAGAAUCCCAGGAGGAUUCUGGAGCCUGGUAGGGCUGCGGUCCAUAAGGUCACAAAGAGUCAGACACAGCUGAAGCGACUGAGCAUGCACGCAUCCAAACAGACAAAGCAGGUCAUUAGAUAGCUAAUCCUGCUAGGGGAUUGUAAGUAGAAAGAUAUGGGAGACUUUCUCAAGAAAGCAGAUUUGCUUAACCACAAAACUAACCAGGCUUGCGUAGCAACAUAACCAUGUAACAGAGGCUCGAGACUGACCCAAAACAAUAAAACAAUGGUGACAUGAGCCCCACCUCCUGUCCAGAGAGCUCACUAAGUUACCGAUUCCUGGGACAAGCUCACUGCACACAAGAAGAACAAUACUUUGCGGCCCUAGCUUGACCACAUGGGGACAAGAAAGCUCCCCUGCCCACCCUGGAGAAGGAGCUGAUGAUAGAAGCAUGACGUCUACCCAAGAAAGACAAAGGAGGUCUUCUCCCCCUCCGCACUCUUCCUUUGAUUAUAAAACUGCAGCUCAGUUAAAUUCUCAGGGUGUGGCAUUUCUCACCCACCUGCUUGUAAAGCCUUGCUAGUGUCUUGUUCUAAUCAAUCAUUUCUUAUUUAUCACUGCCCCACUCACUGAAUUCUGUUCUUUGCUGAGACAUAAAGGACUAUGGUACCGGAGUCCUUCAGAGCCCCCAAGAUGACACCCAAUUGGUUUCAAAUGCUGAUGCCAAGGCCCAGGACCACACUGGGAGUAGCAAGGGUCUAAAAACCAGUCGGGGGGAGGGGAGUUGACAAACAACUACCUUCUGCUUGUUUUCUAGAUGCACAGCUACAUCCGCUCCUCAACCUACUGCUGCCUACCCCUAUGGGCGCAAAGUAACCAGGAGAGGCUAGGGGGUAGGGGGGCAACUGCUCACUCUCUGGUCUUUUACAUAAGGCAAAGCCAGCCCCUGUCUAAAGGAAUCUCCCUCAGCCC